rnacentral:rRNA from 1 species
AUGCAAGUCGAACGGUAACAGGUUAAGCUGACGAGUGGCGAACGGGUGAGUAAUAUAUCGGAACGUGCCCAGUUGUGGGGGAUAACUACUCGAAAGAGUGGCUAAUACCGCAUGAGACCUGAGGGUGAAAGCGGGGGAUCGCAAGACCUCGCGCAAUUGGAGCGGCCGAUAUCAGAUUAGCUAGUUGGCGGGGUAAAAGCCCACCAAGGCGACGAUCUGUAGCUGGUCUGAGAGGACGACCAGCCACACUGGGACUGAGACCCGGCCCAGACUCCUACGGGAGGCAGCAGUGGGGAAUUUUGGACAAUGGACGCAAGUCUGAUCCAGCCAUGCCGCGUGCGGGAAGAAGGCCUUCGGGUUGUAAACCGCUUUUGUCAGGGAAGAAACGGGUUUCUCUAAUACAGAGACCUAAUGACGGUACCUGAAGAAUAAGCACCGGCUAACUACGUGCCAGCAGCCGCGGUAAUACGUAGGGUGCAAGCGUUAAUCGGAAUUACUGGGCGUAAAGCGUGCGCAGGCGGUUUUGUAAGUCUGUCGUGAAAGCCCCGGGCUCAACCUGGGAAUUGCGAUGGAGACUGCAAGGCUUGAAUCUGGCAGAGGGGGGUAGAAUUCCACGUGUAGCAGUGAAAUGCGUAGAGAUGUGGAGGAACACCGAUGGCGAAGGCAGCCCCCUGGGUCAAGAUUGACGCUCAUGCACGAAAGCGUGGGGAGCAAACAGGAUUAGAUACCCUGGUAGUCCACGCCCUAAACGAUGUCUACUAGUUGUCGGGUUUUAAUUAACUUGGUAACGCAGCUAACGCGUGAAGUAGACCGCCUGGGGGAGUACGGUCGCAAGAUUAAAACUCAAAGGAAUUGACGGGGACCCGCACAAGCGGUGGAUGAUGUGGAUUAAUUUCGAUGCAACGCGAAAAAACCUUACCUACCCUUUGACAUGGAAGGAAUCCCGGAGAGAUCUGGGAGUGCCCCGAAAAGGGAACCUUUUACACAGGGUGCCUGCAUGGGCUG